AUUGAACGCUGGCGGCAGGCCUAACACAUGCAAGUCGAGCGGAUGAAGGGAGCUUGCUCCUGGAUUCAGCGGCGGACGGGUGAGUAAUGCCUAGGAAUCUGCCUGGUAGUGGGGGAUAACGUCCGGAAACGGGCGCUAAUACCGCAUACGUCCUGAGGGAGAAAGUGGGGGAUCUUCGGACCUCACGCUAUCAGAUGAGCCUAGGUCGGAUUAGCUAGUUGGUAGGGUAAAGGCCUACCAAGGCGACGAUCCGUAACUGGUCUGAGAGGAUGAUCAGUCACACGGGAACUGAGACGCGGUCCAGACUCCUACGGGAGGCAGCAGUGGGGAAUUUUGCGAAGAGGGCGAAAGCCUGACCCAGCCAUGCCGCGUGAGGGAUGAAGGUCUUCGGAUUGUAAAACUCUGUUAGUGGGGAAGAAGGAAUGUGAAAGAAACUAUGCUUGUUUUGACGUUACCAAAAAAAAAAGCCCCGGCUAACUUCGUG
rnacentral:rRNA from 1 species